UUCCACAACAUUAAACAGGCAUGGGUCAGACGAUCAGGCAUAAACUAGGCUAGGCAUCGAGGUGUUGAGUAUCGAGGUCAAUGGAGUACACAAAGUCAAAGCCAGAAUAUCAUCACUUAGAAAGGUUUUGUAUGGAAAGGCUAUAGUAACUGAACAUAUACUUUGCAAAGACAUUGUGUUCAAUGUUUUAUGUGUGGUGUGACUGCGAGUGUAAAGUGACAUGACACCAGGACCCAAACCAGAGCCAUAGAUGUGUACGUGACACAGUUGAGGAGUAUUGCACCUACACAGACACAAAACCAGUACCUGGAUUGGUUUGAGCCUGAUAUUUAUCUUCCUGGUUUGGUAUGCAAAGCCACUGCAGGGUGUCACGUACAGCGGUAGCGAUGGCUACACAUGCAAGCUCGUAUAGCAUCAUGAGGGCACAGAGUCAUGGGCCUCUCUUUGCUCUCAAAAUAGCCUCAAUUCUUCAUGGCAUGGAUUCCACAAGAUGUUGGAAACUUCUAUUGGAUUCAGAUACGGUGGAUUCUAUUGGUCUAUUGGAUUCACAUCUAUUGGAUUCAGAUCAGGUGACUGGGAAGGCCACUGAAGAACAUUGUUAUGUUCAUGAAAUUAUGGACAACUUUUGCUUUGUAAGAUGGUGCAUUAUCAUGUUUGAUGUAGCCAUUCAAAAAUGGGUAAACUGUGGCCAUGAAGGGAUGCACAUGGUCAGCAACAAUACUCAAAUAGACUGUGACAUUCAAGCGAUUAUUGAUUGGUAUUAACGGGCACAAAGUGUGCCAAGAAAACAUUCCCCACACCAUUACACCACCUCCACCAACCUGCGCUGUUUAUACAAGGUAGGUUGGGUCCAUGGAUUCAUGCUGUUGGUGCCAAAUUAAGACCCUACUAUCUGUCUGCCUCAGCAGAAAUACAGAUUCAUCAGACCAGGCUACAUUUUUCCAGUCGUCAAAUGUCUAGUUUUGGUGAGCCUGUUCCCACUACAGACUUCAGCUUUCUUGACAGACAGAAGUGGAACCCGACGUGGUCUUCUGCUGUUGCAGCCCUUCUGUCUGAAGGUUUGAAGUGGUGUGCGUUCUAAGAUGUUUUUCUGUACAGAGUGGUUAUCUGCGUUACUGUCGUCUUUCUGUAAGUUUGAACCAGUCUGGCAAAUCUCCUCUGACCUCUCUCAUCAACAAGGCCUUUACGGCCGAAGAACUGCUGCUCACUAGUUGCCCAAGGAAUGCCAAAAAUGCAAAUGCGUGCAUUAUCCACAUAUCUGCAAUUCCCUACUAUGUGAAACCAAGAGGCUUGAUUUUGUGUUGCAAGGAUCAUGAAUGUGAAUCAUUUCUAACAGCCGGUUGGAAGGUUGGAGGCAUGUUCCCAAAGAUCAUCUUCAGCCUCAACUCCAAAGAUUGUGUUGUUGUGAAUAAGAAUGAACUACAACUGAGGGGGCACAGAGGCUUAGGUGUGGGCAGUGGUGGCUCAAUGGUUAAGGCUCUGGGUUAAUGGUCAGAAGGUCAGGAGCUCAAGCCCCAGCACAACUGAGCUGCCACUGUUGGGCCCCUGAAAAAGUCCCACAACCCUCCCUGCUCCAGGUGUGCUGAAUCAUGACUGACCCUGCCCUCCAACCCCAGCCCCACAACAAGCUGGGAUAUGUGAAAAAAUAAUUUUACUGUGCUGUAAUGUAUAUGUGACAAAUAAAGGCCUCUUAUUCUUCUUCAUUUGUUCCUCUAGGUUUGGGGGUUCAAAUUCUGCCUCCACAGUGUACGUGGAGUUUGCAUGUUUUCCCUGUGCUACAUGCAUUGUAGGUUGAUUGGCAUUUCCAAAUUGUUCAUAGUGUGUGUGCGAUUGUGCCCUGCGAUGGGUUGGCACCCAAUCCAGGGUGUCCCCUACCUUGUGCCUCAGUUCCCUGUUAUAAGCUCCAGGCUCCCCUACAACCCUCUGUAGCAUAAGGGUAUGGAAAAUAGAUGGAUGACUGGAACUAGUGGCAAAGAGUGAACUUAACUACAGACUGCCCAACUACAGGCUGUAUUUUUUUUUUUUUUACUAUAAAUAACUUUUCAUAUAAAAAUCAUUGUCCCAAAUGAUGAUGAUAUUUUAAAAAGUUUUUAAGUUUUAUGACUACAAUUAAAGUGUGUUAAAUAAGUCCUG
ensembl:lncRNA